AGCGAACGCUGGCGGCAGGCCCAACACAUGCAAGUCGAACGAAGCCUUCGGGCUUAGUGGCGGACGGGUGAGUAACACGUGGGAACGUACCUUUUGGCUCGGAACAACUCAGGGAAACUUGAGCUAAUACCGGAUGAGCCCUUAGGGGGAAAGAUUUAUCGCCGAAAGAGCGGCCCGCGUUAGAUUAGCUAGCUGGUGAGGUAAAGGCUCACCAAGGCAACGAUCUAUAGCUGGUCUGAGAGGAUGAUCAGCCACACUGGGACUGAGACACGGCCCAGACUCCUACGGGAGGCAGCAGUGGGGAAUCUUGCGCAAUGGGCGAAAGCUUGACGCAGCCAUGCCGCGUGAAUGAUGAAGGUCUUAGGAUUGUAAAAUUCUUUUACCAGGGACGAUAAUGACGGUACCUGGAGAAAAAGCCCCGGCUAACUUCGUGCCAGCAGCCGCCGUAA
rnacentral:rRNA from 1 species